rnacentral:rRNA from 1 species
UACGUAGGGCGCAAGCGUUGUCCGGAAUCAUUGGGCGUAAAGCGCGCGUAGGCGGUCAGGAAAGUCCGGUGUGAAAGUCAUAGGCUCAACCUAUGGAUGCCGCUGGAAACUGCCUGACUUGAGUCCGGAAGGGGCGAGUGGAAUUCCUGGUGUAGCAGUGAAAUGCGCAGAUAUCAGGAGGAACACCAAUGGCGAAGGCAGCUCGCUGGAACGGUACUGACGCUGAGGCGCGAAAGCGUGGGGAGCGAACAGG